rnacentral:rRNA from 1 species
CACGUAGGCACCAAGCGUUGUCCGGAUUUAUUGGGCGUAAAGAGCUCGUAGGCGGUUGAGUAAGUCGGGUGUGAAAACUCUGGGCUUAACCCAGAGCCGCCACCCGAUACUGCUCUGACUUGAGUUCGGUAGGGGAGCAGGGAAUUCCUAGUGUAGCGGUGAAAUGCGCAGAUAUUAGGAGGAACACCGAUUGCGAAGGCAGCUCGCUGGGACGCGACUGACGCUGAGACGCGAAAGCGUGGGGAGCAAACAGG